GACGAACGCUGGCGGCGUGCUUAACACAUGCAAGUCGAACGGAAAGGCCCUGCUUUUGUGGGGUGCUCGAGUGGCGAACGGGUGAGUAACACGUGAGUAACCUGCCCUUGACUUUGGGAUAACUUCAGGAAACUGGGGCUAAUACCGGAUAGGAGCUCCUGCUGCAUGGUGGGGGUUGGAAAGUUUCGGCGGUUGGGGAUGGGCUCGCGGCUUAUCAGCUUGUUGGUGGGGUAGUGGCUUACCAAGGCUUUGACGGGUAGCCGGCCUGAGAGGGUGACCGGCCACAUUGGGACUGAGAUACGGCCCAGACUCCUACGGGAGGCAGCAGUGGGGAAUAUUGCACAAUGGGCGGAAGCCUGAUGCAGCAACGCCGCGUGCGGGAUGACGGCCUUUGGGUUGUAAACCGCUUUCGCCUGUGACGAAGCGUGAGUGACGGUAAUGGGUAAAGAAGCACCGGCUAACUACGUG
rnacentral:rRNA from 1 species